rnacentral:rRNA from 1 species
GACAGAGGGUGCAAACGUUGUUCGGAAUUACUGGGCGUAAAGCGUGUGUAGGCGGCUCUGCAAGUCGGAUGUGAAAGCCCCGGGCUCAACCUGGGAAGUGCACUCGAAACUGCUGAGCUUGAGUAUCGGAGAGGUCGGUGGAAUUCUCGGUGGAGAGGUGAAAUUCGUAGAUAUCGAGGGGAACACCAGUGGCGAAGGCGGCCGACUGGACGAAUACUGACGCUGAGGCACGAAAGCGUGGGGAGCGAACAGG